rnacentral:lncRNA from 10 species
CCCACCCCUAUCUCCCUUCGCUGACUCUGUUUUCAGACUCACCCUGCCUGCACCCAGGUGAUUAAAAGCUUUAUUGCUCACACAAAGCCUGUUUAGUGUUCUCUUCAUACGGAUGUGCAUGAAAUUUGGUGCCAUGACUCGGAUCGGGGGACCUCCCUUGGGAGAUCAAUCCCCUGUCCUCCUGUUCUUUGCUCUGUGAGAAAGAUCCACCUACGACCUCAGGUCCUCAGACCCACCAGCCCAAGAAACGUCUCACCAAUUUCAAAUCCGACAGUAUGUGACGAUUCACAGAGAAGAUCAUAUCAGUUAUAGAAGAAUAAAGGAGAAUAAAGGUUCAUUUGUCUG